rnacentral:rRNA from 1 species
UACGUAGGGGGCGAGCGUUGUCCGGAUUUAUUGGGCGUAAAGAGCUCGUAGGCGGCUUGGCAAGUCGGGUGUGAAAUCUCCAGGCUCAACCUGGAGACGCCACUCGAUACUGCCAUGGCUAGAGUCCGGUAGGGGACCACGGAAUUCCUGGUGUAGCGGUGAAAUGCGCAGAUAUCAGGAGGAACACCGGUGGCGAAGGCGGUGGUCUGGGCCGGCACUGACGCUGAGGAGCGAAAGCGUGGGUGGCAAACAGG